rnacentral:rRNA from 1 species
GACGAACGCUGGCGGCGUGCUUAACACAUGCAAGUCGAACGGAAAGGCCUCUUUCGGGGGGUACUCGAGUGGCGAACGGGUGAGUAACACGUGAGUAACCUGCCCUUGACUUUGGGAUAACUUCAGGAAACUGGGGCUAAUACCGGAUAGGAGCUCCUGCCGCACGGUGGGGGUUGGAAAGUUUCGGCGGUUGGGGAUGGACUCGCGGCUUAUCAGCUUGUUGGUGGGGUAGUGGCUUACCAAGGCUUUGACGGGUAGCCGGCCUGAGAGGGUGACCGGCCACAUUGGGACUGAGAUACGGCCCAGACGCCUACGGGAGGCAGCAGUGGGGAAUAUUGCACAAUGGGUGGAAGCCUGAUGCAGCAACGCCGUGUGCGGGAUGACGGCCUUCGGGUUGUAAACCGCUUUCGCUCAUGACGAAGCUUUGUGUGACGGUAGUGGGUAAAGAAGCACCGGCUAACUACGUG